AUGUGUGAUUGGAUAAUGGCAGGUCAUCCUGAAACAAUCAGAAUCAGAAUACUUUAUUAAUCCAUAAGGAAAUUAUGUGGGUUACAGUUGUUCCAAGAAUAAAUUGACUUCUUUUAAUUGGUUGUUUCACUGCGCUCCACCCAGUGCCCAGAGCAGGUGUAAUGAGGUCUUUUACACGGUGAUGGAUUGACUUUUCAUCUGAAUCAUCACUGACUGAAAUUAAGAUCUUAAUGGUCAAUAAAUCAUUAAAAACAGUGAAAAUGUUUAUUAAUACUGACACUGGAAUAACGUAACCAUCAACUGUUCCGUCCCGCCCUCUUCCAUCAGUACUGUUUACAGUCAUACAUGCUGUAGAUGUGUGACUGUCACAUUCAUCAUUAUUAGACAGGUCUAAAAGUAAAGUCAGAAAAUAAUCCUUUCUUUUUUUUAAUUUAGUGACUCAACAGCUGCAGUCAUCAGUGCCAUGCUGCUAUCCUGGAAGUCAGUCUCAUUUUGGAUUUCAAAGUAAAAACAAUUUAAUAGCAAAGUAUAAGUAAAGACCUGGAUCUUUUUCUCCCUCACAAGAAAUUUAUUUUAAGCAUGUGAUAGUACAAUCCUGUACAUGUUUUGGUUUCUGUCACGACGGCAUCUGUUCCUUUAUGUUAUUGAUAUGUUAUGUCUUAAUUUGCAUUGCUUUUGACCUCUUGGGGCCACCAUAGAAAGCUCUAUAUGAGCUUUUUAGAUUAUCUAUUUACUUUUUUAUUAAAAACAAAAAACGAUUUUCUCCCUCCAGGGCCAGUUUAGGAUCACGUUUAAUCAACUUCAAUACAUGUCUUUGGACUGUUUGAGGAAACCCUGCAAAACAACCCGGUUACAAUUAUCAGCCCCUUCCUCCAGAGGAUGUUUUGAUGGCAAGCCCUCAUUUGUGAAGUCCAUCAGUAUGUUUCUGCCUGUUCAGUCUGCGCCCAGACCAAGUCAUUGAGCUCACCACCUGCUGGUUUACUGUUCCACACACCUGUGAUCCUACAUCAUGGUAGAUUUCCUCACUAGCCUCCAGAAUCUCCGGUGACAUUCCCUUGGACUGAGGACCCCAGUUCACUUCUCGUGACUGACUAAUGGUCUAACCAAGAGGACCAACCAGGAAUUGGACGCCACCCUCAUCGUGUGUUCUAAUCAAACCAUCAACUUGGGGCUUGCACCUGGCCUGUGCCAAACACCUCCAACAUUUGAUGACCUUCUCUGCGACUGGAUUAUUCCUGUUUGAGGCUUUACUGGAGUAUCAUUUUUUCCAGGCCAUCAAAGAAAGUUGUCUGUUCUUUCUGUCCAGCAUCACCUUUGACAUUGCCACCAAGGUGGACCUGCAUAAAACUAUGGAGCAGAACAAGCUUACAGUCAUUGGAUCUUGGCCCUCAUCUACACUCCAGGUCAGAAAGUUACUUCCAAAAGUAUCGCAUUGAGGACCAAAUCCCUCAAAACGACUCACAAUUACAUUGGGCCAUUUGGGUUUAAGCCUCUCAUCAACCCAUCACUGUCCAUCUUAAGCUCUCCAGAAAUGUGACAGUUCACAAUAUGUUCCAAAAUUAGCUGAGCUUUCUCCCUGACCCCAGUAUUUGUCUCUAAAUUCAGGUAUUCAUCUAGAAAGUCCUGCAAAUUCAACCUCAAUCUCUAACCACUGUAUUGCUGUGUUUGCAAUAAUUCACCAGCACUGAAGAAUAUUUAGUAGGUGAAUCAUUUCUUUGCAAUGUGUCCUUUGUAUUGAGGCUAAUUCUGCUAACUUUUAUGUGGUUUUCAUUAAUCUAGAAAUUACAGAUCAGAGUGUUAGCACAUUUCUCCAAUAUUGCAUUUCAUACUUCUCUUACACAACUUCUCUAAUAUCGUGGAUCAUGCUUGGUAGAUGGAAAAAAGCUUUUCCUUAAUAAAAUUGGAACUCUACAAGUGAAAAAUUGAGGAAGAUUAAAAUCCGAAGACUGGGAAGAUAAUUGGACUUUAGAUUUAGAUUUUGUUUCUUCAGAUUUGAACAUCUCAAAAGCAGCAUAAAUAGUAAGAGUUUUGCAUUUCUGAAGCAGGGAAGAGAAGAUGUGUCUCAGGUCCAGUACCAAAGAAAUAUGGUAAGAAGAAAUAUAUAUGGUCACAAAACUGACAUUAUUAACAGAUGAAUUUAUUUUGUACUAACCCAAGCGUCUACCUGACACUUUGAGCCACACAUUAUGUGCAUGCCUGCACGUGUGUGUAUGUGUAUCUUUGCAUUUUUUUCCUCCAGUUGGUACUGUAUUGUUUAGGAUGAUGGGAGGGGUGGGGUUUCUCCCUAAAUCCACCAUCAUUUCCAGUUGGUUCUGACUGCACCAGUGGACUAGCUGGUCCACGUCCUGUCAGCACAGCACAGAUCAGUGGGAAGAAGCUGUAGAAACUGGAAGUUGCCCUUUGACUAUUUUACCCUCUCUGAUCUUUUUCCUCUUACAGACCAGAAAAAUAUCUCAGCCACUGUUGGGGAGAGUGUCACUCUGCCAUGUAGAGCUCCAGAUAACUCCAUCAGAGCUAUAGUGUGGAGCAGGCCUGACCUGGAGCCAAAAUAUAUCCUUUUGUACCGUGACAAGCAAAUUGAUCCAGAAGAGCAGCAUCCAUAUUUUAAGGACCGGGUGGAUCUGCAGGACAGACAGAUGAAGGAUGGAGACGUGUCUCUGAUGAUGAAGAAUGUGAUGAUUUUUGACAGUGGAACAUACGAAUGUCAAGUUUUUAUGAAAGGACCAAACCAGAGAAAGAGAACUGCUGACUACAUCACCAUCAUCAACCUGACUGUUGUUCCAGUUUGUUCCAGAUCACCAGCAUCCAUCUUUUAAGAACCGGGUGGAUCUGCAGGACAGACAGAUGAAGGAUGGAGACGUGUCUCUGAUUCUGAAGAAUGUGACGACUGAGGAUAGUGGAACAUACGAGUGCAGUGUUAAGAUAAAGACAAAUUGCAGGAAGAGAGCAAAUCUGGAUAAUGACGUCAUCAGCAGCAUCACCCUGAGUGUUGUUGAUCCUCCAGGUCAGCCAGGAGGAGACACAGAGGAUGGAUCUGUUGGACUGAAAGUUGGUCUGUCGGUUUUUGGAAUCCUUGUUUUAGUUGUUGGUGUUGUUGUGGGUUUUGUGAUCUUCAAAAACACUAAAGAACAAAAAAAAUGAGGCUUCAUCCUAAUAGGCUUCUGGUGAACCAGAGCGUAUUUAUCUAACUGCUCUCCUGCUGCUAUUACUUCUCUGUACUGUCACUUAAUAGGGGAUCAGUCAGAGAAAGACAGACUGGCUUAUUGAAUGCAUUAGACCAGGGGUGUUCAACUCCAGUCCUUAAGAGCUACCCUCCUGCAGCUUUUAGAUGCAUUCUUGUUCCGACACACCUGAAUUAAAUGAAUGGCUUGUUAUCAGGUCUUUGCCAAAUUUGAUGGCAUGCUGAAGAGGUAAUGCAAGCAUUUAAUUCAGCUGUGUUGGAGUAGGGAUGCAUCUAAAAGCUGCAGGACAGUAGCUCUCGAGGACUUGAGUUGGACACCCCUGCAUUAUGCCAUAAAAUUGUCUUUGUGAAGCUCACUGUUAUUUAUUUAUUUAUUUAUUUAUUUAUUUAUUUAAACUGGAAAUUUUGUUUGACAACAAAAUGUAAUCAUACUAGAAGAGCACGAUAGAAUAUCCAAACACAGAGUGCAGAAUAUUAAACUGGGGUAGAUGCUUGAAGCUUACUAUGUUGAUCAUUUGUGCUCAGAUCAUGUUGUGAUAUAAAUGGAGCUUUUAAAAUUAUAACGCACUAUUAGAGAGCUAAAGUAUCUGUUAGUGAAAUCGUAUGUGACAGUCCAGUGUUUGAAAAUAUUUAUUAUAAAAACUUUGGAUGAAAAUUUGUGAGUGACAGUGUUGGCAGCAGGUGAUCAUGUCUGUGCAUGUAGACCUUUAAAUAAUGGAUUGGAUUUAUAUGGCGCUUUUCACCCAAAGCACUUCACAAUGCCACUAUUCAUUCACUCUCACAUUCACACACUGUUGUCAACACCAGAAUGUUAAAGCAAACCCUGAAGUUAAUGGGGAGUUUGUACAACUCAUAUAACAUUAAAAAAUAUUAAGUUAAAACACUUAGAGAGUCUGGAUGAACACUUCUAAUGUGCCAUGGCCUCCAUCAUGAAUAAGGAAGAAAAUUUCCGCCCAUGGAUAUUUCUUUGAGCACAUGUAAUCUAAAAUAUUCAUCCUCACUUACAAAACCACUUCACACUUUCACAACACCUGUGAGAUUAUUAUAUUAUCUUAUGCCACGUUAUACCACUAAUUAAAGAUUGUGAAAUUAUUAUGUAGUUUUAGUUUGCAUUAUUCUCCUGACUUAGAAGAAGGUGAUAACUAUUACAUUUA